CCUACGGGGCGCAGCAGUCGGGAAUAUUGCGCAAUGGAGGAAACUCUGACGCAGUGACGCCGCGUAUAGGAAGAAGUUUUUCGGAAUGUAAACUAUUGUCGUUAGGGAAGAGAAAGGACAGUACCUAAGGAGGAAGCUCCGGCUAACUACGUGCCAGCAGCCGCGGUAAUACGUAGGGGGCAAGCGUUAUCCGGAUUUACUGGGUGUAAAGGGAGCGUAGGUGGCAUGGCAAGCCAGAAGUGAAAACCCGGGGCUUAACCCCG
rnacentral:rRNA from 1 species